GGGGUAGUAAAGGUUUCGACAGGGGUCUUGCAGCUGGAGAAGCUAUCCGUUGUGACACGUUAAUCACAAAACAAAAAUAAACGCUGAAGAUAAUACUCAGUUAGCAUUUGCAGCGUAAGCUGAAUAGUCAGCUUUGCUGUAAAUGACGCUGCCUCAGGCAGCUUGUCCGCUUCGGGGCACUCACACUCCGAAACCCGGGCAUCGACUAUGUGAGAAACGACAUGCGUUAAGCUUUGCGCGUAUGGGCGUAAAAUGAAGCUACUGAAUGAGGCAGGCUGUUCGUUUCCUGCUUCAGGAGGGAACAGGCCGAAGUAAGUUUGGCCAAGAUAACGGACUAUGAUAGUAGAAGUACAGGGAAUGGGCUUUUGGACACGGGUUCGACUCCCGUCUACUCCAU
rnacentral:tmRNA from 1 species